AUGGGCUCUGCACGGCGCACAAGGAGAGACGGAGGCCGAGCCUCUUCUCAACCCUUUCCACACCCCUGCCCUGCCUGCAACCAUCCCUUCUACAUCUCAGCCCAGUUUGGGAUUUUUUCCUCCGUGCUUUCCCCCGGCCCCGAGCCACGCCGUGCGGCCGGGCCAGCACCAGGGACAGCGCCGGCCCCGGCCUCCCUCCUUUCCUUUGUUCCUCCACCGGCGAGGCCCCGCGGAACAAAGGAGGCCGCCGCCGCUGCCUCCGAAGCCCCGGCCUCUCCCCUCCUCGCCCCGCACCCCCUGCUCACCGCACCGACGUGGCCCCCGCCACCUCCUCCUCCUCCUCCACCACAGCCUCAUCUCCGCUGCCCCGGCCUCGCAUGCACCUGCCCCGCUGCUGGCGUGUGCCCCCCUCUCCCUCCGCUCUCCCUUUCACCCCCAAGCCUCCUCCGGCCUCCCCCCACCCCUUUGCCCCGCUGCCUUCCCCCGCUCCGCACCCGUGAGCCGCACCGCACCGCUCCGCUCACCAAGCCGCACACCGCUCCGCUCUCCCCGCCGCACCGCUGCCCUCCUGCAGCGCUCUGCUUCCAGCCUCACCCCCCCUUCUCCGCUCCCCCCUACCCCUCCCCUUCUUUUUUCCCCCCCCCCCGCCCCCACACCCCCCCCCCCCCCCCCCGACCCCCGAACGAUCGUGCCGCGGAGACCCCCGAAAGGAGGAGCCACCGCCGAGCCCGCAGCGCUCCUGCCACCGGCUGGGCGAUGCGCAAAGAACAAUUCCUCGCGAUGAUCAUAGCAGAAAAUGUAUUUAUUUCCCAGUCGUCGACUUUACAUGAUUUUAAGCCCAGGAAAGCGAGAGGUCGAGGCACCGCCACCUCGAAAGACACCGCUGCCACCGCACGGCUCCCGCACCGCCCCACGUCCCCGUUACCUGCUGCUGACAGCUGCCAUCCCCUGGCAGCGGUCCCCUCCUCUCCACGGGGCUCAGCCGUCCCGGCCUCGAGUCCUAUUCAGUGGCGCUUUCCGUAG
rnacentral:lncRNA from 1 species